UGCGCAGGCGGUUAUGUAAGUCAGAUGUGAAAUCCCCGGGCUUAACCUGGGAAUGGCAUUUGAGACUGCAUGGCUAGAGUGUGUCAGAGGGGGUAGAAUUCCACGUGUAGCAGUGAAAUGCGUAGAGAUGUGGAGGAAUACCGAUGGCGAAGGCAGCCCCCUGGGAUAACACUGACGCUCAUGCACGAAAGCGUGGGGAGCAAACAGGAUUAGAUACCCUGGUAGUCCACGCCCUAAACGAUGUCUACUAGUUGUCGGGACUCAAUUGUCUUGGUAACGCAGCUAACGCGUGAAGUAGACCGCCUGGGGAGUACGGUCGCAAGAUUAAA
rnacentral:rRNA from 1 species